AAUUUUAUGUAGUUAAGCAUUACAGGAGUCGGACAAGCUCUGUUAAGGAUUUGCAUUUAAUUCUGUUUUUUUUUUUAAAUGUGUUAACUAAAAAUAAACUAAUUUCAGGCAUAAAAAGUAACUAAGACAGAGGAGAAUUUGCAAUAGAAAAUGAUCUGUUUAAUUUAGUGCCUGUAUCUUAAACCAUUCAUGGGAUUAAUUAACCACUCACAGGGAGAAGGUCACCCUAGGGGUGGGAGGAGGAAGCUGCUCUGAAUUACAAGCCAGGACGUUGGUUUUGGCCUUCAGAUAUGUCCCACCUUACUCCUUCCUGGCUCUUCACAGAGCCAGCUCUCCUUUCAUUAAGCAAUGCCAGAGAAAUGUUCCUGCAGUCAGAGAGACCACAGCUGUGGGCUAAGACAGGAGGUGAGAGGAAAGGAAGAGAAUAGGAACAUCUGGAGACUCCACUCCCUUUGCAUUUGCCUUCACCUUGAUUCAUCAUUUGGGGCUUCUUCUUGGGGUAAAGAAAUUGUAGAGCUGGGAAUCCCACUAAGAACCUCUCACUCCAGAAUUCAUGCACCAACCACUUCAUGACGCUGCCUUAAAGGUGAUGACGGAGCUGGAUUCUGAAGGACCAGAAGUUAUCUUGGUUGACGGGGCAGGAAAUGUGUUCUGGGCAUAUGUGUUAUGCACUAGAAGUAUGAGA